AGCUCCAAUAGCGUAUAUUAAAGUUGUUGCAGUUAAAAAGCUCGUAGUUGGAUCUCGGGUCCAGGCUGGCGGUCCGACGCCUGUCGGUUACUGCCUGCUCCUGACCUACCUCCCGGUUUUUCGCCCUUGGUGCUCUUGACUGAGUGUCUCGGGUGGCCGGAACGUUUACUUUGAAAAAAUUAGAGUGUUCAAAGCAGGCAAUAUCGCCUGAAUAAUGGUGCAUGGAAUAAUGGAAUAGGACCUCGGUUCUAUUUUGCUGGUUUUCGGAGCUCGAGGUAAUGAUUAAGAGGGACUGACGGGGGCAUUCGUAUUACGGUGUUAGAGGUGAAAUUCUUGGAUCGCCGUAAGACGAACUACUGCGAAAGCAUUUGCCAAGCAUGUUUUCAUU
rnacentral:rRNA from 1 species